GACUCUCGACAACGAAUAUUUCGACUCUUGUCAUGAUGAAGAACAUGGCGAAAUGCGAUACUUAGUGUGAAUCGUAGAAUCCCAUGAAUCAUCGAGUUUUUGAAUGCAAUUUGCGCCCAAGGCCUCAGUCAAGGGCACGUCUGUCUGGGCAUCA
rfam:Picea glauca, whole genome shotgun sequence.